rnacentral:rRNA from 1 species
UGAGGAAUAUUGGUCAAUGGGCGAAAGCCUGAACCAGCAACGCCGCGUGAGGGAUGAAGGCCUUCGGGUCGUAAACCUCUUUUCUGGGAGAAGAGACAAGGACGGUAUCCCAGGAAUAAGUCUCGGCUAACUACGUGCCAGCAGCCGCGGUAAAACGUAGGAGGCAAGCGUUAUCCGGAUUUACUGGGCGUAAAGCGCACGCAGGCGGUCGUGCAAGUCGGACGUGAAAGCUCCUGGCUCAACUGGGAGAGGUCGUUCGAAACUGCACGGCUUGAGGUUGGAAGAGGAGAGCGGAAUUCCCGGUGUAGUGGUGGAAUGCGUAGAUAUCGGGAGGAACACCAGUGGCGAAAGCGGCUCUCUGGUCCACACCUGACGCUCAGGUGCGAAAGCGUGGGUAGCGAACGGGAU